rnacentral:rRNA from 1 species
UUGACAUCCAGAGAAUUUAGCAGAGAUGCUUUAGUGCCUUCGGGAACUCUGAGACAGGUGCUGCAUGGCUGUCGUCAGCUCGUGUUGUGAAAUGUUGGGUUAACGUCCGCAACGAGCGCAACCCUUAUCCUUUGUUGCCAGCACGUAAUGGUGGGAACUCAAAGGAGACUGCCGGUGAUAAACCGGAGGAAGGUGGGGAUGACGUCAAGUCAUCAUGGCCCUUACGAGUAGGGCUACACACGUGCUACAAUGGCGUAUACAAAGAGAAGCGACCUCGCGAGAGCAAGCGGACCUCAUAAAGUGCGUCGUAGUCCGGAUUGGAGUCUGCAACUCGACUCCAUGAAGUCGGAAUCGCUAGUAAUCGUAAAUCAGAAUGUUACGGUGAAUACGUUCCCGGGCCUUGUACACACCGCCCGUCACACCAUGGGAGUGGGUUGCAAAAGAAGUAGAUAGCUUAACCUUCGGGAGGGCGUUUACCACUUUGUGAUUCAUGACUGGGGUGAAGUCGUAACAAGGUAGGCGUAGUGCU